UAUUAUUCGAUAAUAUUUGUGUUAUACCAGUUUUCGACCGGUUUAACGGUAAGGUACCUCGGAGCACCAAUCGGUACCUAUUUUCGUACCUAGUGUUAUAUAGGUACAACAUAGUAAAUGUGCCUCCCACAAAAGCGUUUUAUAUACUACCAAACAUGUCGUUCAGCGGGACCUCCGCGUAGACAGUGAACCAACCCUCGGUGCCCUCAGUUCCGGUGAUGAUGCCAUGCCGUUUGCUCAAGUGACCCAUUACAGCACCCUGGAAUUCCUCGGGUGCCGUGACCUCGACCAGCAUAAUGGGCUCUAGGAUUUGCCAGCUGCCGUUCUGGAAGACCUCUUUGAUGGCACCAUGGGCAGCCAACAUGAAGGCGAGCUCGCUGGAGUCCACGAUGUGGUGACCACCAUCUUGCAGGCGGAAUCGAAUGCCGGACAACUUGUGCCCGGAGAGCAUUCCCUUCUCAGCCAUCUCCCUGUAGCCUAAGCAAAUAAAAUAUUAAAAACGGAA